rnacentral:rRNA from 1 species
CCUACGGGAGGCAGCAGUGGGGAAUAUUGCACAAUGGGGGAAACCCUGAUGCAGCGACGCCGCGUGAGUGAAGAAGGAUGUCGGUACGAAAAGACCUAUAAGCAGGGAAGAAAAUGACGGUACAUGACCAAGAAGCCCUGGCUAACUACGGGCCAGCAGCCGCGGUAAGACGUAGGGGGCAAGCGUUAUCCGGAUUUACUGGGUGUAAAGGGAGCGGAGGCGGCGAUGCAAGUCAGAAGUGAAAGCCCGGGGCUCAACUCCGGGACUGCUUUUGAAACUGUGUUGCUAGAUUGCAGGAGAGGUAAGUGGAAUUCCUCGUGUAGCGGUGAAAUGCGUAGAUAUUAGGAGGAACACCAGUGGCGAAGGCGGCUUACUGGACUGUAAAUGACGCUGAGGCUCGAAAGCGUGGGGAGCAAACAGGAUUAGAUACCCGGGUAGUC